UCCUCUGUAGCUCAGCGGUAGAGCUAUCGACUGUUAAUCGAUUGGUCCCAGGUUCGAAUCCUGGCGGGGGAG
rnacentral:tRNA from 1 species